rnacentral:rRNA from 1 species
UACGUAGGGGGCAAGCGUUGUCCGGAUUUAUUGGGCGUAAAGAGCGUGUAGGCGGUUUGGUAGGUCCGCUGUGAAAACUCGAGGCUCAACCUCGAGACGCCGGUGGAAACCAUCAGGCUAGAGUCCGGAAGAGGAGAGUGGAAUUCCUGGUGUAGCGGUGAAAUGCGCAGAUAUCGGAAGGAACACCUGUGGCGAAAGCGGCUCACUGGACCAUUACUGACGCUGAGGCACGAAAGCUAGGGGAGCAAACAGG